rnacentral:rRNA from 1 species
CGAGGUUAAAGCGGAUGUACAUACGUAGCCGAACAGGGGGUCUCAUCUCCUCGAGCCUCCAGCGGUCUUGGCGUUCGGACCGUCGCCGUCCUUCCUCGCUUCGGUGGGGAUCCUGGGCGCUGUCGACGGCCGUCGCCUCGGCGGACUAGGAGGAUAGGGGGUAGUAAUUCUCUCCUCAGUAGGCAGUCGCGGCCGCUCGAGAGUUGUCUAAGGCCCGGGAGUUGGGAACCGUCCGGCGGCAAGCUCGUCGGCGGGGACUCUCCCUCGAUUCUGGCGGACUCUCGGGCGGUCAUUAAAUGAUGACGACGUAGAGGUAAGCAAAUCCCUCGUCGUACGCGGCUGGAAUGCGAGCGUUCAUCCGUCCCGUCUUGAAACACGGACCAAGGAGUCUAACAUGUACGCGAGUCAAAGGGUUGGCUAAACCCCAAGGCGCAACGAAAGUGAAAAACUAGAGAGAGAGUCCUCCUUUCGGGGAGGACCCCUUUUUUAAUUGGGUCGAUCCGAUGUCCCCUCUUAAUCCGGGGGACCGGCGCAGACCCGGGGCUCGCCGCUACCUCUUCGAGAUUCGUCUCGAGGCGGGCGGCGGCCACCUUGAGCGUACAUGCUAGUACCCGAAAGAUGGUGAUCUAUGCCUGGCCAGGAUGAAGCCAGAGGAAACUCUGGUGGAGGUCCGUAGCGAUUCUGACGUGCAAAUCGAUCGUCAGAGCUGGGUAUAGGGGCGAAAGACCAAUCGAACCAUCUAGUAGCU